rnacentral:rRNA from 1 species
CGUGAGUAACCUGCCUUGGAGUGGGGAAUAACAGAUGGAAACAUCUGCUAAUACCGCAUAAUACGUCUGUGUCGCAUGGCACUGGACGUCAAAGAUUUAUCGCUCUGAGAUGGACUCGCGUCUGAUUAGCUGGUUGGCGGGGUAACGGCCCACCAAGGCGACGAUCAGUAGCCGGACUGAGAGGUUGGCCGGCCACAUUGGGACUGAGACACGGCCCAGACUCCUACGGGAGGCAGCAG